rnacentral:rRNA from 1 species
GCAAGUCGAACGCUGAAGCACCAGCUUGCUGGUGUGGAUGAGUGGCGAACGGGUGAGUAAUACGUGAGUAACCUGCCCUUGACUCUGGGAUAAGCCCGGGAAACUGGGUCUAAUACUGGAUGCUACAUGUCACCGCAUGGUGGUGUGUGGAAAGGGUUUACUGGUCUUGGAUGGGCUCACGGCCUAUCAGCUUGUUGGUGAGGUAAUGGCUCACCAAGGCGACGACGGGUAGCCGGCCUGAGAGGGUGACCGGCCACACUGGGACUGAGACACGGCCCAGACUCCUACGGGAGGCAGCAGUGGGGAAUAUUGCACAAUGGGCGAAAGCCUGAUGCAGCGACGCCGCGUGAGGGAUGACGGCCUUCGGGUUGUAAACCUCUUUCAGCAGGGAAGAAGCCACAAGUGACGGUACCUGCAGAAGAAGCGCCGGCUAACUACGUGCCAGCAGCCGCGGUAAUACGUAGGGCGCAAGCGUUGUCCGGAAUUAUUGGGCGUAAAGAGCUCGUAGGCGGUUUGUCGCGUCUGCUGUGAAAGCCCGGGGCUUAACCCCGGGUGUGCAGUGGGUACGGGCAGACUAGAGUGCAGUAGGGGAGACUGGAAUUCCUGGUGUAGCGGUGGAAUGCGCAGAUAUCAGGAGGAACACCGAUGGCGAAGGCAGGUCUCUGGGCUGUUACUGACGCUGAGGAGCGAAAGCAUGGGGAGCGAACAGGAUUAGAUACCCUGGUAGUCCAUGCCGUAAACGUUGGGCACUAGGUGUGGGGGACAUUCCACGUUUUCCGCGCCGUAGCUAACGCAUUAAGUGCCCCGCCUGGGGAGUACGGCCGCAAGGCUAAAACUCAAAGGAAUUGACGGGGGCCCGCACAAGCGGCGGAACAUGCG